rnacentral:lncRNA from 1 species
GACGUCAUCUGCAGGCCCUGGAGACGCGACUGCAGUUACCGAGUUUCUAAGGCCUCGUCCCCUGACGGGAAGGCGGCGUUGGGGGGCGGCUGGGUUUACCCUUCGAGGUGAGCGCGUCCUUGUUUUCAGGGACGCCCGGACGGGAGGCGUUUGUUGCUUUCGCAGCCGAGUGGUGGAAAUGUAUUGGCUCUUCAGGGCGGGUCUGGUAGUGUCUCGUCCGUUUGGGAGUGUUUUUUUUUUUUUCUGGAUUCUUUUUCGGUUCCAUGGGCCGGGCUGCUGCUCCUCUUCCCCCUCCAAUAUUUUGUUCCCCUUGCUCGAGAUCCCCGAGAGGCAGACCCCAAAGCCAGGAAAGUGGGGAGGUCGGAACCCUGGUUCUGGAAGAGGGCCUUGGGCAAGGCGUGAAGCGAUUCUGAAUCUGGUUCCUAUUGUUUUUUAUUUUAAAUGGAGUUGUCUAUUUGGAGUCAAGGCAAGAGUGUUUAGUCUUGGCCCUCCUAUUACAGAUCUCUGAUGGAUUUGUUGACUCCUCUGUGGGAGAAAGGCUUGGUCUACUGCAGGUGUUAACGCUAAGCCAGGCUGGAGCUGUGGACGUCAGUUUCCUCAGCUCCCCGCUGUUCGCUUCGAACGUGACCUCGACGUCUGCUCUCCCCUUCCCUUUAGCUGACAAUGUGACAGUGCUUGAAUAAAAGUCAGUCUGACAGGAACGGUAAUUUUUUUUCAGUGAAUAUCUUCAGUUACAGAAGAUAAAUAGAACUUGACAAUGAUUAUUUAUAGUGCCCUGAAAAAAAAUGGCUGCCAAUUUCCCUGUAUAUUACAAAGACAAAAGUAGCAUUGCUUCUUUUCUCACCUAACUUUAAACAUCUUAAGGGAAGUGCAUUACAGGAAGGCAAUGAGCAAAGGCUCAACAUUUCACAGUAAAGUCAGAUUUUCCACAUUUUAAUUUUAAAAUGUGUUUUUUAAACAUUAAGUUUUUUUUAAGACAAGUUUAUUCUGGAUUGUUUUGAUAAUCAAAUAAUAUAACUUAAUUCACUGAAGCUUCUAAAAUUAUUUACAAAUAUGAAAUAUAAGUCCUGGUUAGAAUUUGGAUAGUUUUAAAGCUUAAAAGAAUCCACAUGCUAACUUCUCAGUAUGAUUUAAUAAAUCAAAUUACUAAACAUGUAAUUUCUUCGACAGUUCACCUUUGGCCCUGUAAUAGGGUAACUGGUAUUGUGGAAGAAUAAUUAUAAAAUGUCAAAUCUUCAGCUGUUAUGAUUGAUUAAGUAUGGUGCUGUUGAGACUAAGCAGUAAAACAUGCCACAGAUUUAAAUUGAUUACUAUUUUUUUCAUAUUGAUGGGGUUUUUUUUGUUUUUGUUUUUGUUUUUGAGACAGAGUUUCCCUCUUGUUGCCCAGGCUAGAGUGCAGUGGCACAAUCUCUGCUCACUGCAACCCCUGUGUCCCGGGUUCAAGCAAUUCACCUGCCUCAGCCACCCGAGUAGCUGGGAUUACAGGCACCCACCGGUAUACGCAGAUAAUUUUUGUAUUUUUAGUAGAGACGGGGUUUCACCAUAUUGGCCAGGCUGGUCUCGAACUCCUGACCUCAGGUGACCCUCCUGCCUUUGCCUCCCAAAGUGUUGGGAUUACAGGCAUGAGCCACAGCGUCCGGCCCAUAUUGAUGCUUUUGACACUUUAUUGUAUAUAGCUACAUUUUCUACUGUGUGUAUUAAAUUAGUUUGGAAUCGAAAGAGCAAGAAAGUUGUUUUUUUUCCCCCACUCUUUGAAUAUAAAAAAAUAAAAAUCAGCACGAGUUAGCUGCUUUUUCCAUAGUAUGGACCUGGGAGGUAUAGUGUGAGCAUGGAUUCUGGAGCCAGCCCGAUACACUUAAUCUUGGCAUAUGUUGUAGGCAUGAGGUGGUGAUAAGGAUUGUAGGAGAUAAUGCACAGGAAGUACGUAGUAGUCUCCCAGCAAACAGCAGCCACAUGCUCUCAUUUGCUCAUACUUUUUUAUGUGUUAAGAAAAAUCCUACAUCUUUUUAAUGUGUAUUUUUAGAAAGUAAAUUAUGAAAUAUUUAGGACAUACUUAAAGGUAUAAAGUAUAAUGGAAUGAAUAGCCAUGUAUCCCCCACCCAAUUUAAGAAAUAAAAUAUCACCACUGGGCAUGGUAGCCCACCCCAUAAUCCCAGCACCUUGGGAGGCCAAGGCCAGUGGAUCAUUUGAGCCCAGGAGUUUGAGAUCAGCCUGGGCAACAUGGCAGAACCCUGUCUCUACGAAAAAAAAAGCCGUUGUGGUAGCCCAAGCCUGUAGUCCCAGCCACGCGGGAGGCUGAGGUUGGAGAAUCACCUGAGCCUGGGAGGUUGAGGCCACAGUGAGCUGUGGUCGUGCCACUGCACUCCAGCCUGGGCAACAAAGUUGGACCCUGUCUCUAAAUAAAUAAAUGAAACAAGAAAACAUCACUGAUACUGUGCGUAGCCUUUCCCAAUACAUCCCUCUUCCCUCUCUACAAACAGUUGCAACAAUCUGAAUGCUGCUUUAAUUUCCAGGCAUUUAAAAUUGUUUUACUAUAUAUGAAUAUAUACCUUAAAAUGUAGUAUUGCAUUUCAUCUUUCAAAACUGUUUUGAAAUAAUUUUACACAGAAAAUUUCAAGAAUGAGACCAAAAAAUCUUGUCUACCCUUUAUCCAAAUUCAUCAGUUGUUAACAUUUUGUCCCAUUUUUUCUAUCACUUGUGCUAUCUAUAUGUACAUGUAUACUCAAAUGUUUCUGAGUAGUUUGAGGUUUAUUUGCAGACAUUUUAAUAGAUAGAUAUACAUAGAUAGAUAUAAACACAGGCCCAGCUGGGUGGCUCACACCUAUAAUCCCAGCACUUUGGGAUGCCAAGACGGGUAGAUCACUUGAGGUUAGGAGUUCGAGACCAGCCUUGCCAACAUGGUGAAACCCCAUCUGUACUAAAAAUACAAAAAUUAGCCAGAUGUGGUGGCAGGCACCUGUAAUCCCAGUGACUUGGGAGGCUGAGGCAGGAGAAUUGCUCAAAAAUAUAUAUAAAGACAUAUAUAAUAUAUACACAUAUAUAUAUAGUGUGUAUAUAUACAUAUAUGAAUAUAUGUCAUACUUACCUAUAUAUGUAUUUCUUUUUUUUUAGAGAAGGAGUCUCACUGUGUUGCCCAGGCUGGUUUUGAACUCCUGGGCUCAAGCAGUCCUCCUGCCUCAGCCUCCCAAAGUGCUGAGAUUAUAGGCAUGAGCCAAUGUGCCCAGCCAGCUUGUUUCUUUAUCCAUAAAUAAUGUGUGUUUCCUCAGAAGGACUUUCUUCUACAUGGCAACAGUGAUUUAUCAAAAUCAGAAAAUGCAGCAUUUAUACAGCACUAUUAUAAAAUCCUGUGGUUUGAAUCAAACUGUACACUGAGGUACCUCACAUCCCCACAGUAAAUCCACGGGGGGAUAUCUGUGGAAUAGCUUGCAUUCUAAAUUUUCAAGGCAAACAAAAUGAAAUCUAAAUGACUGUACAAAACUACUAGCUUGAAGUUGUUUACAGUUUCAACAAUAGAUGGCGCCAAAUUCCUUGGCUAUGUCAUGUCUUGGGGCAUCUAGGCUUUCCAGUUGGUUGUGAUGAAAAGUGAGUACACUGGGCCGGGCGCAGUGGCUCACGCCUGUAAUCCCAGCACUCUGGGAGGCCGAGGCGGGCGGAUCACGAGGUCAGGAGAUCGAGACCAUUCUGGCUAACACAGUGAAACCUCGUCACUACUAAAAAAUACAAAAAAUUAGCUGGAUGUGGUGGUAGGCGCCUGUAAUCCCAGCUACUCGGGAGGCUGAGGCAGGAGGAUACCUUGAACCUGGAAGGCGGAGGUUGCAGUGAGCCGAGAUAGCACCACUGCACUCCAGCCUGGGUGACAGAGCGAGACUCCCUCUCAAAACAAAACAAAACAAAACAAAACCCUGAGAUGCUGAAAGCACUGUGAACAAAGAAAAUUUGGGAAACUUUUAUCUAAUUCACAGUUAACACUCAAAUUUCACCAUUUGUCCCAAUAAUAUUCUUUAUAGCUGUGUUUGACUUGGUCAACUGGUCUAGGAUCUAAUCUAGGAUCAUUUAGUUACAUAUCUUUAGUCUUUAAGCUGGAAUGGUUCCUCAGCUUUUCUUUUUCUUUCAAAAUGACGGUUAUUUUUAGAAUAUUCCUCAAUUUGUGUUUGUUUGUGUAUUCUUGAAAUUAGAGUCAGUUAUGUUAUAUUUGGCUGGAAUACCACAGAAAAGAUGUUAUGGGCCAGGAUUACAGGCUUGAGCCACCAUGCCCAGUCACUUUCUUACUUUCUUAGCACAGCAACAAGCCCUGCUUCCAAGGAUCCUUUUAAUGGAGGAUGGUAUUUAGAAACCAAGAUCUGGGUGCUAGGUGUUCUCAGUAGUACUAGAGUGUCUUUGCUUUUGGACCUUUCAGUUGAUUGAGCCAAAAAAAGAGAUAUAUGUACAUAUAUACAUGCAUCUGAAUCCAUUUAUUAAAGUAUAGUUUAUAUGGAUAAUACCAAUGCAUUUUAGCAUAACAGGAUUUGUUCUAGUCUUCCCCCUUUCCAUAAUUAUGACUUCCUGCUUCAACAGUGAGAAACUUGGCUCCUUUUAUCCUCAGUAUAUUUACUCAUUUGCUCAAUCCUACACUACAUAGGAAGUAGUUUCAGAGUUGCUAACCCAUACCAUUUUAAAAAACAAAAGCCCUUUGAACUAGAGUUCAGUAUUUGUUUAUGACUUUUUGUCCAAAACUGACAAAUACAGUUUGUCAUAUAGUAUAAGUAUUGUGUUCAAACGUUAGUUGGGUUAAUCCUUUUUUUUCCUUCUUCAGUGUGGUUAUGGUUUGCAUUCGAAAUACAAUUAAGCUCAUUUGUUUCUUUAGUAUUGUAGCUUCAGUUUUUUGCCCCUCAUGAUUAGUGACUUUAUUAACGUUUUUGGGUAUGUAAAACAUUAACAGAUUCAAAGUUAAAGCAAUACAAUCAGUAUACCCACAUGAGUGUCACUUUCACCCUUCAUUCCAAUCCUUUUCACCACUUCCCACCUACCUGCUGUGGGCAACCAAUCACAUAGACUGUGAUUUACUCCUUCCUGUGUUUCUUUUUAUAGAAAAUAGACAGUUACAUGUAUAUUUUCUCAUUUCUCUUUAUGACACAAAAAAGUAACAUUGUAUGUGUGUGCACAAUUUUGAAAUUUGCUUUUACACUUAAUAUAUUCUGGAAAGGACCACAUGCUAUUUCACUAUUAUGUAAAAAAAGAUCAUACUCCUUUUUUAUAGCUACACAGCACAGUAUCCCAUUGUGUGUAUAUACAUUUUUUUUCAGUUAAUAUAUUUAGGGGCAUUUAUGUAUUUUUGUACUAUUAUGGGUAUGUCUUCAAGGUAAAAUUCUUUAAAAAAUGGAAUUACUGGGUCAAAGGUAAAUGUAAAUUUACUUUUAUUAUAUAUUGCCAAAUUCUGUAAGGUAACGUUUUGAGAAUUUUUGCAUUAAUAUUCUUAAGUAAUGUUGGAAGUAAGUAAUAUUAUUAAGUAAUACUAAAGUAAUUUUAUGCUACCUUUGCCUUGUUUAGAUACUAAUGUUAUACUUGCAUCAUAGGCUAGGUGCUGUGGCUCAUGUCUGUAAUCCCAGCACUUUCAUAAGUGGAAGUGGGAGGAUCUGUUGAGGCCGGGAGAUCAAGACCAGCCCUGGCAACAUAGUGAGACCUUGUCUCUAUAAAAAUAAAGACUCAGGCAGGAGAAUCACUUGAGCCCAGGAGUUCAAGGUUACAGUGAACUAUGAUCUCACUGCUGCACUCCAGCCUGGGUGACAGACCAAGACCUUGUCCCUCAAAAUCCCACCAACACACACAUAGUUGACAGUUUUAAAAAAUGUUUCUAUGCUCUGGAAUAAUUUAUCUGACAAAAUUUAUUUUUUAUUUUUUUUUCAGAGACGGGGCUUCGCCAUCUUUCCCAGGCUGGUCUCAAACUCCUGAGCUCAAGUGACCCUCCUGCCUUGGCCUCCCAGAGUGCUGGGAUUACAGGCAUGAGCAAUGGUGCCUGGCCCAAAAUUCAUACAUUAGCAAAAGUAGGGAGAAUAAAGUAAUGAACACUCAUUUUCCACCUUCAGCAAUAUCAACGUGGAUCAAUCUUGUUUCAUCUAUACCCCAGAUUAUUUUGGGGCAAACUAUAAAUAUAGUUAUACUAUAACUAUCCAUAUCUUAUUAUGUACUUUAGAAGGUGAAGCUCUUAAAAUACAGACAUAAAUGAAAUCUAACUGGCAUACUGUGGUAAGCCGAAUUCUAAGAUGGCCUCUAAGAUUCCUGGCCCCUGGUACACACAUACCUUUUCCCAGUUAGUUAAUCAAACAUGAAUUUGGGUGCUGCUACAAAGGGAUUUUGGUAAUUAAGUUCCCAGAUCAGUUGUUUUUACGCUGAAGAUAUUAUCCUCCAUGGGCCUGACCCAAUCAGAUGAGUCCUUAAGUAGGAUAGGGCUUUUCCUGGCAAAAGAUAUUAAAAAUGUGAGAAGCAUUCAAUAGGAGGAAGGUUCUCCAGGAUGGAAGGGGAUACUUAGCAAGGACCUAAGAGUGGCCUCUUGGAGCUAAGAGUAACCCCCAGCCAACAGCAAGAAAAUGAGCAGCUCAGUCCUACAACCAGAAGUAACUGAAUUCUGCCAAAAACCUGAAUGAGCCUGGAAGGAGCUCCUGAGCUCUGAUGAGAACCCAGCUGUCUGCUACCUUCAUUGCAGCCUUGUGAGACUUUUUUUUUCUGAGACAGGGUCUCGCUCUGUUGCCCAGGCUGGAGUGCAGUGGCACGAUGUCAGCUCAUUGCAGCCUCUGGCUCCCAGGUUCAAGUGAUUCUCCUGCCUCAGUCUCCCGAGUAGCUGGGAUUACAGGCGCCUGUCACCACACCCGGCUAAUUUUGUAUUUUUAGUAGAGAUGGGGUUUCACCACGUUGGCCAGGAUGGUCUCGAACUCCUGAUCUCAAGCGAUCUGCCCACCUCAGCCUCCCAAAGUGCUGGGAUUACAGGCGUGAACCACUGCACCCAGCCUACUUUUUUUUUUUUUUUGAGAUAGGCUCUCUCUGUUGCCCAGGCUGGAAUGCAGUGGCACAAUCAUAACUCACUGCAGCCUUGACCUCCUGGGCUCAAGUGAUCCUCCUAUCUCAGUCUUCCGAGUAGCUGCGACUACAGGUCUGUAGCACCAUGCCUGGCUAGUUAUUUUUUGUAGAGGCAAGCUCUCACUAUGUUGCCCAGGCUAGUCUUAAAUUCCUCGCCUCGAAUGAGCCUCCCACCACAGCCUCCCAAAAUGCUGGGAUUACAGGCCUGAGCCACCAUCCUGGCCCCUUGUGAGAUUUCUGGGCUAGAGAACCCAGCCUCUGUAUGCCUUAUCAUCUGACCUACAGGACUGCAAGAUGUUUAAUGUCUGUUGUUUGAAACUGUUGAAUUUGCAGUAAUUUGUUAUGCAGCAAUAGAAAACUAAUAUACAUACUGAAAAGUUGGUAGUAAUUCCUCUCAGUGACCAAGUUUUUGUGGGAAAGUUUUUAACUACAAAUUCAAUUUUUUAAGGAGUUCUGCUUCCAGUAUGGUAGUGUAAACCCUUUCAGAUAAUUCUCCCACUGAUUAAAAAACAAUAACAGGGCUGGGCGUGGUAGCUCAUGCCUGUAAUUCCAGCACUUUGGGAGGCCAAGGCAGGCAGAUCACUUGAGGCCAGGAGUUCGAGACCAGCCUGCACAACAUGACAAAACCCCAUCUGUACUAAAAAUACAAAAAUCAGCUGGGUUUGAUGGUACACACCUGUACUCCUAGCGACUUGGGAGGCUGAGGUGGGAGGAUUGGUUGAAUCCAAGAGCCAGAGAUUGCAAUGAGCCGAGAUCAUGCCAUCACACUCCAAUCUGGGUAACACAGUGAGACUCUUCCUCAAGAAAGAAAAAAA